UACGUAGGUGACAAGCGUUGUCCGGAUUUAUUGGGCGUAAAGAGCGUGUAGGCGGCUAGGUAGGUCCGUUGUGAAAACUCGAGGCUCAACCUCGAGACGUCGAUGGAAACCAUCUAGCUAGAGUCCGGAAGAGGAGAGUGGAAUUCCUGGUGUAGCGGUGAAAUGCGCAGAUAUCAGGAAGAACACCCGUGGCGAAGGCGGCUCUCUGGUACGUGACUGACGCUGAGACGCGAAAGCGUGGGGAGCGAACAGG
rnacentral:rRNA from 1 species